rnacentral:tRNA from 1 species
GGGGAUUUAGCUCAGUGAUAGAGCGCUUGCCUAGGAAGCGCAAGGCCCUGGGUUCGGUUCCCAGCUCCG